CAAGUCGAAGCGGACAGAUGGGAAGCUUGCUCCCUGAUGUUAGCGGCGGACGGGUGAGUAACACGUGGGUAACCUGCCUGUAAGACUGGGAUAACUCCGGGAAACCGGGGCUAAUACCGGAUGCUUGUUUGAACCGCAUGGUUCAAACAUAAAAGGUGGCUUCGGCUACCACUUACAGAUGGACCCGCGGCGCAUUAGCUAGUUGGUGAGGUAAUGGCUCACCAAGGCAACGAUGCGUAGCCGACCUGAGAGGGUGAUCGGCCACACUGGGACUGAGACACGGCCCAGACUCCUACGGGAGGCAGCAGUAGGGAAUCUUCCGCAAUGGACGAAAGUCUGACGGAGCAACGCCGCGUGAGUGAUGAAGGUUUUCGGAUCGUAAAGCUCUGUUGUUAGGGAAGAAYAAGUACCGUUCGAAUAGGGCGGYACCUUGACGGUACCUAACCAGAAAGCCACGGCUAACUACGUGCCAGCAGCCGCGGUAAUACGUAGGUGGCAAGCGUUGUCCGGAAUUAUUGGGCGUAAAGGGCUCGCAGGCGGUUCCUUAAGUCUGAUGUGAAAGCCCCCGGCUCAACCGGGGAGGGUCAUUGGAAACUGGGGAACUUGAGUGCAGAAGAGGAGAGUGGAAUUCCACGUGUAGCGGUGAAAUGCGUAGAGAUGUGGAGGAACACCAGUGGCGAAGGCGACUCUCUGGUCUGUAACUGACGCUGAGGAGCGAAAGCGUGGGGAGCGAACAGGAUUAGAUACCCUGGUAGUCCACGCCGUAAACGAUGAGUGCUAAGUGUUAGGGUUUCCGCCCCUUAGUGCUGCAGCUAACGCAUUAAGCACUCCGCCUGGGGAGUACGGUCGCAAGACUGAACUCAAGGAAUUGACGGGGCCCGCACAGCGGUGGAGCAUGUGGUUUAAUUCGAGCACGCGAGACCUUACCAGUCUGACAUCCUCUGACAUCCUAGAGAUAGGACGUCCCUCGGGGCAG
rnacentral:rRNA from 1 species